UUUUUUUUUUUUUUUUGAGACAGGGUUUCUCUGUGUAGCCCUGGCUGUCCUGGAACUCACUCUGUAGACCAGGCUGGCCUCGUAGUCAGAAAUCCACCUGCCUCUGCCUCCCAGAGUGCUGGGAUUACAGGCGUGCACCACCACCGCCUGGCAAAUUUAUUUAUUAUACGUAAGUACACUGUAGCUGUCUUCAGACACACCAGAAGAGGGCAUGAGAUCCCAUUACCGAUGGCUGUGAGCCACCAUGUGGUGGCUAGGAUUUGAACUCAGGACCUUCAGGAAAACAGUUGGUGCUCGUAACCGCUGAGCCCUCUCUCCAGCCCCAGGAGGCAACAUCUUUGCAGUUGUGCCUCACUGAGGCUUGCCUGCUCACCUCACAAGAGCAGGGAAGGAGAGCGAGCAAGGGGUUGUUGUCACAGGCUUCAUUCUGUCAGAAUUCUGCCAUGCUGGGAAUGUAGGUGAGUGAUAGGUGUUUGCUUGGCAUGUGGGAGGCUCUGGGGUCUCCGCAUGGCAGGGGACAAAGCAGCACGCACAGAGAAUUCUGCACAGCUCUCAAGUUGAAACCAUUUUUGAAAGACUGCAAACGGAAUGUGACUCCCUGACAUGGAGGACACCGAAAGUGUUAUCAGAGGCGAUGGUGGGGCUCAUUUUCCUGGUAAGUUCACCCCUCAAGAAAAACCUGGUCUACUUUCUGGAUUAAACCAAUGCUACGCCAUGGCCAAUUCUAAAGUUCCUGGCCCACGUAAGGCCUUUGCUAUGUACCCGAUAGCCAAUAUAGCCACAACCCUGUAAACAUGGCCUGGUCAUUUCAAAAUACUUGCAUGUGAGUUUGACGUGGGUUUGAGUUGGGAGGCAGAGCCUACGUAGCCCUGACUGUCCUGGAACUCACUAUGUAGAUUCAUUUACCUCCCAAGUACUUCUGUCGCCGCGUCGAGGACGAUGAUGAUGAGGAUGAUCCCCUCCUCCUAAGACAGGGUUUCACAUAGCCCAGAUUUCAUAACUAAAUGGACAAGGAUAACAUUGAGCUUCCUGCUCUUCCUGUCUCUACCUCUGAACUACUGGGAUAACAGGUGUGUGCCACCUAGUUCCUGCAGUUCUGGAGAUGCAAGAACCCAGGGCUUCAUGCAUGUUAGGUGGUAACUCUGUCCCCAACACAGGCUUUAGAUUGGGAGUAGCUACAUAUUUUUUUUUGCUACCGACUAAUACAGAGGAGGUGAGUUAGUGGUUUAUUAAGGUGUGUAUGCUAGCCCAUCCAUCUUUUGUUUUUUUUUCUGAGACAGGGUUUCUCUGUGUAGCCCUGGCUGUCCUGGAACUCACUCUGUAGACCAGGCUGGCCUCAAACUCAGAAAUCCACCUGCCUCUGCCUCCCAAGUGCUGGGAUUACAGGCGUGCCCACCACCGCCCGCCCAUCAUUUGUCUUUAUGAACGUCUUCCCUCUUUAUCUAGGUUUGUACAAGGCACAGUUACAUCAACACCGGACCCAUGGAUGGAUGUUCAGCUCCCGGGACAACCCUGCAGAGCCUCUCAAAUACCACCACAUUGAGACCAGCAUCCAAGCCAGCACCAUGGACGGUGCGCCGGGAGCGCAGUAGAUAUCCAUCCUUAAACACCUUUGUAGAAAAAUCUGAAGAUCUGUGGGAACUUACAAAAGCUUUUAUGUAAUUAAAGGUAUCUGAAGAUUUUUGAAUCUCUACAAGAAGCAGGGUUUUGGGGGGAGGGGGCCUGUCUGUGCAUUUUUAACUCCAUGGACCUUUGGUGUGGGGGGUCUUUAGGCAGUGAAGGUUGGGGGGUGCCCCACAGAUUGGAAGUUGUCAGCCCUCUUUCCCGAAGUAUAUUCUGCAUCCUGGAUUUCUUAAGUAGUAACAAAGUUGCAUUUAAGGAAAGUUUCCACUGUUGCUCUAAGCUUAUUUUGAGGGCCACCUUCACUUGAGAAUAUUGAAACAACUUGGGCUGGGUAUACAGAGCUGCUGCCCACUUGGGUCAUCCAGCCAUAGCUAGCACACCAAAGGGAGCUAAGCCAGUGAGGAGAACAUGCUUCUUCCACCUCCCCUUCUUUUUCUUUCUUUUUUUAAAAAAAGAUUUAUUUAUUAUAUGUGAGUACACUGUAGCUGUCUUCAGACACUCCAGAAGAGGGUGUCAGAUCUCAUUACAGAUGGUUGUGGGCCACCACGUGGUUGCUGGGAUUUGAACUCAGGACCUUCAGAAGGACAGUCAGUGCUCUUAACCACUGAGCCAUCUCUCAGCCCCCGCCCCUGUUUUUUAAGACAGGGUUUCACAUAGCCCAGACUGGCUUUGGAACUAAAUGGGUGAGGAUAACCUUGAGCUUCCAGUGCUUCCUGUCUCUGCCUCUGAACUGCUGGGAUCACAGGUAUGUGCCACCCAGUCACUGCAGGUCUGGGGAUGCAUGAACUCUGGGUCACAGGCGGAGCCUUUGAGUCACAAGCAGGGCCUCCGGGUCACAGGCAGGACUCUAGGAAUUGAUGCUAAAUUGGGACCAUCCUGACAGAAAGCAGCUUCAAACAGUUCCACAGGGACAUGACAGCCAUGACAGGCACCACGAGUGACAAGGCCACGCCACUCAGUGUCUGAGCUGGGAGGCGCAGGGGGAAAGACAGCACGCACGAUGCAGGCAUCACAGCAGCGCUGAUGAGCGAGUGAAGCCCUCUCAAAGCCUAGACUGAAUGGUCAGUAAGGAAACAGACGUCAUGAAGAACCCAGUGAAUGAGCAAAGCCGCCGUACAUCUCAGUCCCGGAUUGGGGGAGGCAGAGGCGGCAGCAACAUUACUGCGAGUUCGAAGCCAGCCUGGGUCCAUCAGGGUUACAGAGAAGGCCUGUACAAACAACAGACAGACACGAACCCUCAACGGGAACAACUGUGAGCGGGCACAGCUGGACAGAUUCAGUGGUUUAAUGGAGAGAUACCCACAGAGAGACUGAAAGAGGAGCAGAGUCUCAAGGGGACCCGUGACGUGGAAGGUGACCAAGAGGACAGUGAAGGCGCUGAAGGAUCGGAAUGAGCUGGAAACUCCCGCUCUGAUGAAAGAAGUCGAGUGAACCAUAUGUGGGAAAGGCUCCGAGCAACCGUGAUCCUGGGGGAGGCAGAGGCAGGAUUUGGGUUUGGGGCGAUAUCAGGAUACAUAGUCAUCAAACUGCGGAGAGCUAGAAAGAAACCCACAUGCUACCCUGACAGUUUGAAUGACGGUGAAUUCUUUAUAGAGACCAUAGAAGCUAGAGGAAUGAUGGUGAACUCCUCAUAGAGGCCAGAGGAAUGAUGGUGAAUUCUUCAUAGAAACUAGAGGAAGUAGAUCGUUAGUGUGAAAAAUGCCACCUGGGAACUCUGUACCCAGAGUUGGACAUGUUGGCACACAUCAUAAUCCCAGGAUAAGGGAGGAUGAGGUAGGAUUAUCUUGGGUAUGGGUCCAGCCUGGGCUAGAGUAAGACCCUCUCUCAAGGGGGAGGCGGGACUCUGAAAAGAUUAAAAUGAUUCAGAAGUUUUACAGUAAUAUAUAUAAUACUGAAAAUGUUUAACCUAAAAGAGCAGGUUCAGAGAGUCUGAGCAGCAUUUAAAAAAAUGCAAAAGAACCCAAAGUAUCAGCAUAUACCUACCAUGUCUUGGUGUUUCCAUGCCAACAAUGCUGCAAAGCUGCUGAGACUUCCCGGACACACCUGACUCUGCAGAACGUGUGAGCAUCCCACCCACAGACUGAUUCAGGAUGCAGGCCCCCAACACCCACCUAUGUCGCUGGGGUGCCUAGCAGCCACACUCCUGUGCACUUGGAGCCUGUGUGCGUCGAGGUGACCGUAGCUGUCUCAGGGCGGCGUCUCCAUACUGGAUGCCAGAGCCCAUCCUCUCGGGGUCCAGCUCACCUGAGGACCAAGAAAAUGCCCAUGAUUCUGUGUUCCCCAAACACGGUAAGCGGGAAAGGGCAAAGUGUAAUGUCCCACACGUUUGUACCUUCAUUGUGAAGAGCAAAAAUGUAUCUACUAAGAUAGUUUCGUGUUUUGAAAUGGGGUCUCACUAUGUAGUUUUGGCUGGUCUUUUGCUUGCUAUGUAGACCAGACUGGCUUUGAAUGCAGAGAUCUGUCUCCCCCCCCCCUCCAACCCGCCCCCAUGCUGUGAUUAAAGGUGUGCGCCACCACACUGGGCUGGAAAAGAAAUGCCUUAAUUCUAAAAUGUAUGUGUGUAACACAUGUGUGCAGGUGUGUAACACAUGGAUGCCAGAGCUCAACGUGCAUGCUUUCUACUUGUUUUGAGACGUGGGUUCUCUGAGACCUGGGAUUUACUAACUUGGCCAUGCAGUCUGGCGAGUGAGCCUCGGGGGCUUUUGGAUUUUUCUUUUCUUUUAUUCUUUUGUUGUUGUUGUUUUGGUUCGAGACAGGGUUUCUCUGUGUAGCCCUGGCUGGCCUCGAACUCAGAAAUCCAUCUGCCUCUGCCUCCCAAGUGCUGGGAUUAAAGGCAUGCGCCACCACUGCCCGGCCAAAAAAGAUUUUUUUUAAAGUGUGUGUAUGCAUGCAGGUGUGCGGGUAACCAAGAAGGCCACGAGAGGGCACUGGAUCCCUUGGGAUUAGAGAGUUAUGAGCUGUCUAGUGUAGGUGCUAGGAACUGAACAGAAUUUGGAUCCUCCACACAAGAGCAGUGUGUUCUUUUGACCUCUGAGCCACCUGAGCCCGAGUUUUGGAUGUUUGAGUGGAACUAUGAGACAGUAUUAUCCAUAAAAAAAUUAACUUAAAACUAAGCAAUAGCAAUGUUCACUUACUAGUUUGCAACAAUCCAAUUUUGGUAGCACCCGGUACACACCGGCCCCUGAGGGGCUCCUGGGCGAGAGCUUCUCUCAGGCAAGCCUGACUGACUUGCUAGAUAGCACUGCUUUUUACUACAGUCUUGCUCAUCCCAGCCAGCAGGGGGCACCGUUGAGCUACAGGGCGGAACCCACAGAUGAGGCCAGGGAAAGGCUGGUACCUGAUUCAAUUUUGUUAAGUAUUUUCCUCGCACACUGCAUGAAAGCCUCUUCGACAUUCUCGCCAGUCAGUGCGCUAGUCUCCAGGAACAUCAGCUCUGCAAACGGUGUCAGAGAAGAGAGGGAAGCACAUUUAGCAGAGUGGGAGAGCGUGGUCUUUAAAAUCUCAUUAUAGUUUGGAGGGAGUGCAUGCUGUGGUGCGUGUGCAGUGGUCAGAGGGCAGUUCCUAGGUCAGACUUUCCUUCCUUCCGCUUUGUGGGUCACAGGGAUGGAACUCAGGUCCUCAGUCUUGGAGGCAAGUGCAUUUGUCCACAGAGCCAUCUUGCUGGCCCAAUGACAGCGACUUUUUUUAAAAAAAGAUUUAUUUAUUUAUUAUAUGUAAGUACACCGUAGCUGUCUUCAGACAUCCCAGAAAAGGGCAUCAGAUCUCAUUACAGAUGACCAUGAGCCACCGUGUGGUUGCUGGUGUUUGAACUCCAGACCUUUGGAAGAGCAGUCAGUGCUUUUAACCGCUGAGCCAUCUCAACAGCCUCGACAGUGACUUUUAAUUGCUAGCAGCCUGUUCAGGAUUCCCAUGAAGUAACAAAAUACAGUUCUCAAAUCUUCUCUUUCUUUCUAUAAAUAUAAUAUUAACACUUAAAUAUAUAUAUUUGUUGUCUGUUUUUAUGAGAUAAGGUUUCACAUAGCUGAGGCUGGUCUUGAACUUUUGACCCUCUUGACCCUGCCUCCCAAGUGCUGGGAUCACAGGGUAGGCUGAUCGGGUGUAUUGAUGUAUUCAGUUAGGGGAGCCCAACCCUUUCUGAAGAAUGGUCGUGGUGGUGCCCUGACCCCUGAACUGACAGCAUGAAGGAAGCAUGCUGAGAACUGUCAGUCACUCCGUGAGUGGGGACUGGUUGGCUAAAAUUGUUACGUGGAGCCAAACUUUCUUCUCCAAGAGAUCACGUGCUGAUAAAUCACUGUAUUGCACUACACACGAGCAAGACCCACGUCUGUCCCAGCCAGACACGGCCCCGCUGCCCAAGAAAAGCCUUCCCCAUCCACAGCUUCUAACUUAUGUUCAAAUUUACAUUCGGUUUAAAAAUGUGUGCAUUUGGGCAUCCUAGAUAAUCUUUACUAAUUUAGCUCUCCUCUAAUCAUGAAUACUAACCAUUAAUGAUAAUUGGGGGAUGGAUAGUCCCACUUCAUUUAUUUUAAUUAUUUAUUGCGUGAGUGUUUUGUCGGAAAGGAUGUUAAUGCACCACAUGGGUGCCUGGUACCCAGGAGGUGGUAAAGCUGGGACUCGAACUUGAGGCCUUUGCAAAAACAAAUGCUCUUAUCCACUGAGCCGGCUCUCCAGGCCUGCUGAACUACUUGGAUUACGUUCCUUUCUUUCCAGGGCAGGGGAAAGCAGCGGGAAGCCUGCUCCUGCUGGCUGGUGCACCAUGGCUGUUAGCUUGGACUAAUAGGUCUGUACCACUGGACGGCUUUCCUGGUCAUGCUAAACAGCUACUGCUUUCUAAAUAGCUCUAAAAUGCCCGGGGUGGGGCAGCAGGGGUGACAGGGUGGCGGUAGGAUGGCAGUACACACCUUUAAUCCCAGCACUCUGCAGGUGCAUGUCUCUGAGUUGGAGGCUAGCCUGGUCUAGAGACCGAAUGCCAGGACAGCCAGGGCUACAUAGAGAACCAUACAAACAUCUAAUGCUAAAACAGUGACUCUCAACCUGUAGGUCGUGACCCUAGGGGUCAGGGGUCGCCUAAGGGUCAUAAGAGUAGCAAAAUUACAUUUGUGAAGUAGCAACAAAAAUAAUUUUUUGAACUGGAUGGUGGUGGCACACACCUGUAAUUCCAGUACUCUGGGAGGCAGAGGCAGGUGGAUUUCUGAGUUUGAGGCUAGCCUGGUCUACAGAGUGAGUUCCAGGACACCCAGGGCUACACAGAAAAACCCUGUCUCGAAAAAACCAAAUCCAAAAAAGAUUUCUGGUCUGGUCACCACCUCAUGAGGAGCUGUACUAGGGUCAGCAUUAGGAAGCUUGGAAUCACAUGUCUUGUGUGCAGACUUAAUUGGUUCUCUUUCCGUUUUCUUUCUUUCUUUCUCCCUUUGUCUUUCCCUCCCAUGCUCAUUUGAAACAGAGUCUCGCUCUACAGCCCUGGCUAUCUUCAAGCUUCCAGCAAUCCUCCUGCCUCUGCCUACUAAGUACAAGGAUUGCAGGCCCCAAACCCCAAGCCUGGGUCCUGUUUAGUUCUUAGUAAACACCCAUCCGAUUGGGAGAGCAGGUUUCUGACUCCAGCCAGAUGUGGACGUAAGGAUGGACUAGUUUCAGCUGGCUCUCAGAACUAAGGCUCUUCCUCAAUGUUUAUAAUGCUGUCAUCUCUACAAGCAACUGCACAUUAAUACAUUUCUUACCCAGCCUGGUCUACAGAGUGAGCCUCAGGACAGCCAAGACUACAUAAAAAGACUGUCACAAAAAAAUAAACAAGGUAGAGGUUUGUUACCAUUGAAUGAAUGACUUAAUGUGAGACGGUAAGCCAGCUGGCUGUUUCUUCUGCUUCCUUUCUAUGCAGGACCACGGCUUUACCAGUUAGGCUUCAAGUGCCACCCUAAGGCAGCAAACAUACCAGAGACAUAAAAGCCCCACAGACGGAAACUCCUGACUUUCCUCAGCAGAAUGGGGACAGACUAAGUAUGCUGAGCUAGCCUAAGCUGACAGAGGAGACUCCACAGUUUCAUAACAUAGUUUAAUCUCAAAUCUCCAGCAGGUGGUUUAAGUCCUCCCCGCAAAUGUCACUGUGCCCAGACGACCCUGAGAGACUCUUCAAGAGGAAAAAAAGUCACUUGCCAUUCUCUUGUGCGAACCUGGAGGCUUCAAGGAAGGUGACUUCACGGUCGGCAUCCAGGUCCUUCUUGUUCCCGCAGAGGAUGAUGACAAUGUUCUGGCUCGCCAGCAUUCUGGCAUCUGUUAACCAAUUAGUAAGCGCAUUGUAGGUUUCUCGGCUGUGUAACAUAAGAUUGUGGAAAUAAUACAUGUAUUUUAUAAAACUA